rnacentral:rRNA from 1 species
UACGAAGGGGGCUAGCGUUGCUCGGAAUCACUGGGACGUAAAGCGCACGUAGGCGGAUUGUUGAAGUCAGGGGUGAAAUCCUGGAGCUCAACUCCAGAACUGCCUUUGAUACUGGCGAUCUCGAGUCCGGGAGAGGUGAGUGGAACUGCGAGUGUAGAGGUGAAAUUCGUAGAUAUUCGCAAGAACACCAGUGGCGAAGGCGGCUCACUGGCCCGGUACUGACGCUGAGGUGCGAAAGCGUGGGGAGCAAACAGG